UUUUGAUGAUUUAACAACAAUUUUGAAGUAGGUGUAGAUGUUCAUGUAAAUAUUGAUUCUGAAUUUUAAAUUUAUCUCCAAUCAAUUA